UCUCCCCAUCUGGGAACUGGCACCAUCAGACUGACAGUCUCAUGUAGGAAGAUUACCGUUCUCUGAUGUCUUGGGAUUGAACUGAGCUAUGUGGCUAGUUACAGGCCAAUAGGCUGUUAGCAGAUGUGACAUCUAACACAACAACUAGGCUGCAGUUUGAAAUACCAGUGCACAGCCUCCAGAAUUCCUCCCCUGCUAAGGUGACUGAGAAGACCUCAGCUGAGAUGGUGGGAAAAAAAAUAUUCAAG
rnacentral:lncRNA from 1 species